rfam:Glossina fuscipes fuscipes unplaced genomic scaffold Scaffold124, whole genome shotgun sequence.
GGGUUAGUUUUAAUACGUAGGCGCCAAGUGUACCGAAUCGUGCACGCUACUGGAAAGAGGUAGUAGUAGUAUCUACGAAGAUUUUCAUAUCC